GACGAACCGUGCGAACGUUGUUCGGAAUCACUGGGCUUAAAGGGCGCGUAGGCGGCCGGGUUGGUCGUGGGUGAAAUCCCCCAGCUUAACUGGGGAAUUGCCUACGAUACUGCCUGGCUCGAGGGAGGAAGGGGCGGCCGGAACUGUCGGUGGAGCGGUGAAAUGCGUUGAGAUCGACAGGAACGCCGGUGGCGAAAGCGGGCCGCUGGCCCUCUUCUGACGCUGAUGCGCGAAAGCUAGGGGAGCGAACGGG
rnacentral:rRNA from 1 species